rnacentral:lncRNA from 1 species
GUUCAGAAAAUGAAGCUACACUAUGUGAGAUCCAGGGGUCCCUUCCAAUGUGCAGUUUUCUUUGACCCGCAUUCCAAACCUUCUCCUUUUUUGGCUCAUUCUUAUGCCUUAACACAAAGUCUUUCUUUUGCUAUAUGCAUGAAGUCUUAACAGGAGUAUGUACCCACAUAUUUUUGAAGGACACACGUUGCAUGCUGUUCACAACACAGCAGUUCUUGUUCAAAUUUUCCUUGCCUGUAAUCUCACCCUCUUCUCUCCUGUUCCACAGAAAUGCUUGAAGUAUCUGUCAGAGAUUACUCAGCAGCUUGCUUUCCCUUUCUUGAUGCCCUUUCACUUUGUACAGAGUUACACAUCAGUAGCUGAGACAGAGGUCUACCUGCUCCCAGGGUCAAGUACAAACAUCAGCACACAUGAGGAAUGAUGGAGAUUCUGCAAGCUUGUGGCUUCCACUGCAUGAUGAGAUUCACAGCUUCCAGCAGUUCAAGAGGCACUCAUAAGAAGGCAAGAGUGACACCUCUCCACCUCUGCAGAUCCCACCCAACACUUAUUCCACAUCCUUCAGAAGAAGGGCUGUUCUGCACCCUGGGUGAGACAAUCAUCUCCUUCACAGUCUUUGGACACUACUGCCAAACUAGGUCGUGGUGAGAUACAGCUGUGGCACAAAAGCUUCAGAGAAAUAUCUGAAAUAAGUAUUAAACAACCACUUAUUUAUUCAUUUAUUUAUUGUAGAUUAAUUUCUUCAGUACAAGCAACCAGAUGAAGAAUUCAAAGGAAUGUGCGAGAACAUAAGUGGGAAGCAAAUGACUGAGCAGGGUGGUAUUACCAUGCCCCAAAGUGAGUGUUAUCUCUGCACUAUGAAAGAAGUUAAAAAUGAUACCUGUCAGCUAUAGAACACUUGCUGUUUGAAGAGAUGAGAGAUUAAAUAGCUUCAUGAAAUGCCAGAAGAGAUGAGUAAUUAUUCAGUGAGCCACCUAGACCAGAUUAAUUACAGUUUGGGAAGAGAAAUCUUGGUAAGGAUGUUUCUGUAAGGUGGCAGCACUGAAGGAAAGUCUUCAUGUUCUAGUAACCAACAGAAUAAUAAUAAUAAUAUAAAUAAGAAAAUCUAUCACAGUAAGAACAACAAAACAAUAAAGCAUGCAAACUCCCCCCA